ensembl:misc_RNA Metazoa_SRP Metazoan signal recognition particle RNA
GUUUUGUACCUAUAGUCCAAGCUGCUUGGAGGCUGAGGUUGGGGGAUCACUUGAGUCCAGAAAUUCUGGGCUGUCAUGGGCAAUGCUCAUCAGGUCAUCCUUGGCAUCAAUAUACUGACCUCCUGCGAUCAGGAGACCACCAGGUUGCAUAAGGAGUAGUGAACUGGAACAGAUCAGAAAUAGACCAGGUCAAAACUCCCAUGCUGAUCAGUAGUGUGACUGAAUCACUGCAUUGGAACAUGAGCCAUAGCCUAAGACUCCAUCUUCA